GAUGAAGAACGUAGCAAAAUGCGAUAAGUAAUGUGAAUUGCAGAAUUCAGUGAAUCAUCGAAUCUUUGAACGCACAUUGCGCCCGCCAGCACUCUGGCGGGCAUGCCUGUCCGAGCGUCAUUUCAACCCUCGCGCCGUCCCUCCAGGGGGCUCGGCGCGGUGUUGGGGGACACGGCCCCGGCCGCCCCCGAAAUGCAGUGGCGACCCCGCCGCGGCCCCUCCAGCGCAGUAAGCACGCUCGCUACGGGAGGCCCGGUGGACGCGUCCGCCGUAAAACGCCCAACUCUUCAGAAGUUGACCUCGGAUCAGGUAGGGAUACCCGCUGAACUUAAGCAUAUCAAUAAGCGGAGGA
rnacentral:misc_RNA from 1 species